rnacentral:rRNA from 1 species
GACGGGUACGGGGAAUCAGGGUUUGAUUCCGGAGAGGGAGCCUGAGAAAUGGCUACCACAUCCAAGGAAGGCAGCAGGCGCGCAAAUUAUCCAAUCCAGAUAAUGGGAGAUAGCGACAAGACGUACUAAGAUUAGCUUGAAUUUCAAGUUAAUAUUUAGAAUGAACGAAAUUUAAAUACCUAAAUGAGGAGCUACUGGAGGGCAAGUCUGGUGCCAGCAGCCGCGGUAAUACCGGCUCCAGUGGUGUAUCGCAUUGUUGUUGCGUUUAAAACGCUCGUAGUUGGAUUGCAGCUUGUUACACCAGCGGUGUUACAUAUUCGUAAAGAUUACAUGUGUUGUAUGUAAGCUUUUAAAAGUGAAACAUAUAUAAACAGUAAAAACUGAUGAAUAUGUAAUGCUGUGCGUUGUUUUAUGUAAAUGUAAAGCAAAUGUGUACAUAGCUUAAUAUGUUGCAGUGUUGUAAAUUUAUGUCAUCUUUACUGAUGGUAUAAAAAACAGUUGAAUGAUGUUGUUGCAUCAUUUGAAUUGUACUGCAAUGUUAUAGCCUUGAAUAAAAUAGAGUGCUCAAAGCAAUGCUUAGCGCUUGAAUAUUGUAGCAGGGAACGAAUGUAUUUUUAACCACCAUUAGGUUAGCAGUAAUGUUGGUCUGUGAGUCUAAUAGGUGUCGGUUAAUAGGGAUAUUUGGGGGCAUUGAUAUUUGACCGCGAGAGGUGAAAUUCUUAGACCGGUCAAAGAUCGACAAUUGCGAAAGCAUUUGCCAAGAAUGUUUUCAUUAAUCAAGAGCGAAAGUCGGAGGAGCGAAGACGAUCAGAUACCGUCGUAGUUCCGACUGUAAAUUAUGCCAACCCGGAUUUGAUUUACUAAAUGUUACAAACUACAUUAGAAAUCAGAUCCACCGGGAAACCUAAAGUUUUUGGGUUCCGGGGGGAGUAUGGUCGCAAGUCUGAAACUUAAAGGAAUUGACGGAAGGGCACCACCAGGAGUGGAGCCUGCGGCUUAAUUUGACUCAACACGGGAAAGCUUACCAGGUCCGGACAUUGACAGGAUUGACAGAUUGAAAGAUCUUUCAUGAUACGGUGGAUGGUGGUGCAUGGCCGCCUCUUAGUUCGUGCAGUGAUCUGUCAGGUCAAUUCCGGUAACGAGCGAGAUCAGCUUUACUAUUUUGGUCGUUUUGAUAACAUAUUCAGAAAUUUAUGCGUAUGUGCAUGCAUGCAUUUCAUGUAUGUAAUAUAUGUCAAUGUAUAUAGUUAUGUGCAAACAUAGCUAUUUAUGUUGAUUAUGUUAGAUGUGUGUAUGUGUGUGUAUGUGUAUUGGUGUAAAUCUGAUUGUAUGUGUCAAUUUACCUUCAUAGUAAGACAACCGGUGUGCUAGCCGGUGGAAGUAUGGCAAUAGCAGGUCUGUAAUGCCCUUAGAUGUUCUGGGCUGCACGCGGGCUACAUUGAAAGUGCCAGCGAGUUAAUCUUUAUCGAAAGGUAAUGGGUAACCUUGUGAAUUACUUUCGUAAUGGGGAUUGAACCUUGAAAUUAUUGUUCAUGAACCUGGAAUUCCUCGUAAGUACGAGUCAUUAGCUCGGGCUGAAUAUGUCUCUGCCCUUUGUACACACCGCCCGUCACCACUUCCGAUUGAAUGAGUCAGUAAGAGCUAUGGAUUAAAAAAUACCUUAAUAGU